rnacentral:rRNA from 1 species
GAUGAACGCUGGCGUCGUGCCUAAUACAUGCAAGUCGAGCGAACGGACGAGAAGCUUGCUUCUCUGAUGUUAGCGGCGGACGGGUGAGUAACACGUGGAUAACCUACCUAUAAGACUGGGAUAACUUCGGGAAACCGUAGCUAAUACCGGAUAAUGUUUUGAACCGCAUGGUUCAAAAGUGAAAGACGGUCUUGCUGUCACUUAUAGAUGGAUCCGCGCUGCAUUAGCUAGUUGGUAAGGUAACGGCUUACCAAGGCAACGAUGCAUAGCCGACCUGAGAGGGUGAUCGGCCACACUGGAACUGAGACACGGUCCAGACUCCUACGGGAGGCAGCAGUAGGGAAUCUUCCGCAAUGGGCGAAAGCCUGACGGAGCAACGCCGCGUGAGUGAUGAAGGUCUUCGGAUCGUAAAACUCUGUUAUUAGGGAAGAACAUAUGUGUAAGUAACUGUGCACAUCUUGACGGUACCUAAUCAGAAAGCCACGGCUAACUACGUG